rnacentral:rRNA from 1 species
GGUUAAGUGAAUAAGGGCGUACGGUGAAUGCCUUGGCACUAGGAGCCGAUGAAGGACGGGACGAACACCGAUAUGCUUCGGGGAGCUGUAAGUAAGCUUUGAUCCGGAGAUUUCCGAAUGGGGGAACCUCAUUGUUUUUAUCGACAAUGGUCCACUCAGUGAACACAUAGCUGAGUGGAAGGUAGACGUGGUGAACUGAAACAUCUCAGUAGCCACAGGAAGAGAAAGAAAAAUCGAUUUCCCGAGUAGCGGCGAGCGAAACGGAAAGAGGCCAAACCAGCGUGCUUGCAUGCUGGGGUUGUAGGACUGAUGGACGGGAGUGAAUGAGCUAGUCGAACGCCAUGGAAAGGGCGAUCAGAGAGGGUGACAAUCCCGUAGGCGAAAGCUCAGCCACCUCAUUCAGUAUCCUGAGUACGGCGGUACACGUGAAAUUCCGUCGGAAUCCGCCAGGACCAUCUGGCAAGCCUAAAUACUCCCUAGUGACCGAUAGUGAACCAGUACCGUGAGGGAAAGGUGAAAAGCACCCCGGAAGGGGAGUGAAAGAGUACCUGAAACCGUAUGCCUACAAGCAGUCAGAGCCCGUUAAGGGGUGAUGGCGUACUUUUUGUAGAACGGACCGGCGAGUGACGAUAGCAAGCAAGGUUAAGCUGAAGAAGCGGAGCCACAGCGAAAGCGAGUCUGAAGAGGGCGUUGAGUUUGUUGUCGUCGACCCGAAACCAAGUGAUCUACUCAUGUCCAGGCUGAAGGUGUGGUAAAACACACUGGAGGGCCGAACCCACGUCUGUUGAAAAAGGCGGGGAUGAGGUGUGGGUAGCGGUGAAAUUCCAAUCGAACUUGGAGAUAGCUGGUUCUCUCCGAAAUAGCUUUAGGGCUAGCCUCGGAUGAUGACUAUUGGAGGUAGAGCACUGUUUGAUCGAGGGGUCCAUCCUGGAUUACCGACAUCUGAUAAACUCCGAAUGCCAAAUAGUUUAGUCCGGGAGUCAGACUGCGAGUGAUAAGAUCCGUAGUCGAAAGGGAAAGAGCCCAGACCACCAGCUAAGGUCCCAAAGUUUCAGUUAAGUGGAAAAGGAUGUGGGGUUGCUUAGACAACUAGGAUGUUGGCUUAGAAGCAGCCAUCAUUGAAAGAGUGCGUAAUAGCUCACUAGUCGAGUGACCCUGCGCCGAAAAUGUACCGGGGCUAAACUGAACACCGAAGCUGUGGAUCCAUAGGAUGGUAGGAGAGCGUUCUAUAGGCAGAGAAGCAUGAUCGUGAGGACAUGUGGAGCGUAUAGAAGUGAGAAUGCCGGUAUGAGUAGCGAAAGACGGGUGAGAAUCCCGUCCACCGAAUGACUAAGGUUUCCUGGGGAAGGCUCGUCCUCCCAGGGUUAGUCGGGACCUAAGCCGAGACCGAAAGGGAUAGGCGAUGGACAACAGGUUGAGAUUCCUGUACUUGUUUGAUUUGUUUGAGCGAUGGAAGGACACAGAAGGCUAAGCGGAGCGCGGAGAUGGAAAAACGCGUCCAAGCAAUAAGUGAGAAGGUGAGUGAAAGGCUUGCCUCAGACUUCAUGAGUUGUGACGGGGAGGGAAAUUUAGUACCGAAGCCGCCGACGUCACGCUGUCAAGAAAAGUUUCUAGUGAGAAUCAAACAACCCGUACCGCAAACCGACACAGGUAGUCGAGUGGAGAACACUAAGGUGAGCGAGCGAACUCUCGUUAAGGAACUCGGCAAAAUGACCCCGUAACUUCGGGAGAAGGGGUGCUGACCGCAAGGUCAGCCGCAGUGAAUAGGCCCAAGCGACUGUUUAUCAAAAACAUAGGUCUCUGCCAAAUCGAAAGAUGAUGUAUAGAGGCUGACGCCUGCCCGGUGCUGGAAGGUUAAGAGGAAGGGUUAGCGUAAGCGAAGCUCUGAAUUGAAGCCCCAGUAAACGGCGGCCGUAACUAUAACGGUCCUAAGGUAGCGAAAUUCCUUGUCAGGUAAGUUCUGACCCGCACGAAAGGCGUAACGAUUUGGGCACUGUCUCAACGAGAAGCUCGGUGAAAUUGUAGUACCAGUGAAGAUGCUGGUUACCCGCGACAGGACGGAAAGACCCCAUGGAGCUUUACUGUAGGUUGAUAUUGAAUGUUUGUGCCACAUGUACAGGAUAGGUAGGAGCCAUCGAAGUCGGGACGCUAGUCUCGAUGGAGGCACUGGUGGGAUACUACCCUUGUGGGAUGACCAUUCUAACCCGCGACCAUUAGCUGGUCGGGAGACAGUGUCAGUCAGGCAGUUUGACUGGGGCGGUCGCCUCCUAAAGUGUAACGGAGGCGCCCAAAGGUUCCCUCAGAAUGGUUGGAAAUCAUUCGCAGAGUGUAAAGGCAGAAGGGAGCUUGACUGCGAGACCUACAAGUCGAGCAGGGACGAAAGUCGGGCUUAGUGAUCCGGUGGUUCCGCAUGGAAGGGCCAUCGCUCAACGGAUAAAAGCUACCCUGGGGAUAACAGGCUUAUCUCCCCCAAGAGUUCACAUCGACGGGGAGGUUUGGCACCUCGAUGUCGGCUCAUCGCAUCCUGGGGCUGAAGUCGGUCCCAAGGGUUGGGCUGUUCGCCCAUUAAAGCGGUACGCGAGCUGGGUUCAGAACGUCGUGAGACAGUUCGGUCCCUAUCCGUCGCGGGCGUUGGAAAUUUGAGAGGAGCUGUCCUUAGUACGAGAGGACCGGGAUGGACACACCGCUGGUGUACCAGUUGUUCCACCAGGAGCAUGGCUGGGUAGCUAUGUGUGGACGGGAUAAGCGCUGAAAGCAUCUAAGCGUGAAGCCCCCCUCAAGAUGAGAUUUCCCAUACUUUUAAAGUAGUAAGACCCCUGAAAGACGAUCAGGUUGAUAGGUUUGGAGUGGAAGCUUAGCAAUAAGUGGAGCGGACAAAUACUAAUCGGUCGAGGACUUAUCCAA